rnacentral:lncRNA from 1 species
AGUCUUCUCUGCAGACACCAGCCUGGUGUCCUCCUUCAUCCCAGGCUGCCAGGCUAGGCAGGGGACAGCGGCUGCCCUGGUCCUCACAGCCCUGGCUACGGGGCUGGUGACAGCCAGAUCCUCAUGCUUCUGCGACCUGAGCGCUGCCUUCAGACACCUCUCUGCUGGCGUGUUCCUGGGUCCAUGAUGGAAGAAGGAAAAGUAUUUUUAAAAGACAAUCUGAAGCUCAUACUGUGACUGCAACAUAAAAUGUGUUCACCUGAGGAGACUGCUUUCAUCGCCAGUGUGUCACAGAUGGUGGAAACCUCAGAAGGCCACAGUCCAGAGUAGGGGCUUAAUGCAAGCUGCUGGAACUGAAUAAAGCUGACUUCUCUGAGCUGGAUGGCACCCUGGACAUCAACCAGCCCUUCACCUUCACGUCACACAGGAGGGACACUGGUCCAUAGAGAGGAUGCCUGCUCUGGUCACCAGCUGGAGAGUGGCAGACCUUGGGUACCUGACCUUUGGACUCUGCCACACAGAGCACUUCCUCAGUCCCUCCUGCUGCCCCUGGCAGGGUGGAGCUGGCAGGGCAGCUGAUCCAGGACCGUCCACUUCCAAGCCAGCAGGAGGAUGGAAAAGCAGAAUGGAGGGGAAACAACCUCCUUUGCAGGGCGUGACUCGGAAGUUGGACACAUCAUUUCCAGCCACAUUCCAUGGACCAGAAUUAGCCCUGUGACCAACUCUGGCUGCCAGAAAAUCUGGGAAAUACAGUCUCUGCUUGGGCGAUCAGGCAGGCAGUUAUAUCUUUGGGAACAUCUCUCACCCCCUGGGAACACCUGAGCAGAAACUGAAGGACAUUUAACAGAUUCUCCUUUGUGUCUAAUAAGAAUUGCCCCCAUCAGUCGGGGCUGUCCUAGGUGCUGGGUACAUAGGUCAUCUAUACACAACCCAGCAAUGGAGAGCACACCAUUCCCAGGCUGCAGAUGCAGAAACUGUGGCUCGGAGAGUUAAGCGUCUUGUUCAGAUUCAGUCAGCUGGUAGAUGGCAGGUCUGGGAUUGAGACCCAGGCCUGGCUGGUCCUGCCAGGACACAGUAUCACAGCUUUGACUGGGAGCUUCUUUUUGUUUACAUAUAUUUUUUAUGCUCAAUGUGCAUUCCUUUUGAAAUACACAGAAAAGGGAAAGAAGCCGGAGUCCUGCCUUGUGUAGGAGGGAUAAGUUAGAGGUGUGCACCGGGAUAAAUCUGCCUCCCGCGCUGGCCCUGGCCCUGGCCCUGGCCCUGGCCCUGGCCCUGAUCCUGCUCCUGAUUCUGGUCCUUGGGGCCUGGGCGGCGAUUCCCGGCGCUGGCUGAGCGUCACCGGCCACCAGAGGGCGCUGCCGGGCUACCGGUCCGGUCGCCCGGGGAUCACAGCCUCAGCGGACAGGAAAUGAUCAACAGCUUCUCCUCUCGGAUCCACGUGGACUCAAGGAAUCUCCGGGGGGCAGGACAGGUGCAGAGCCGAGUGCAAAGGUGGAAUUCUAUUCCCAAAGCACAUCCCGCGCCCCUUUCCUCUGCAAAGUCCCGGAACCGCGUGACUCCGGAUGAGUUAUCGGGGCUGGAACCGAGGGUUCAGCCCCCUGCGCCUCUGUGUGUCCCGGUCCCUUUCCUCCAAGUAGACAGGAGGCAUCUCCUCAUCGGCUCAGUUCACAUUCCUCCAGGGGCUCAAAGGGGACCCAGUCCCUGUCUUGGGACACCAAGUCAGGCAGACUCCAGGAGAGAGGAAGGAAGAUGAUUCCCGCGCUCAGGUGGGCGGGUCCUGCUCCCUCUGUUGAAGACCUGAAGACAAAGAUUGACCCUCACCCUUCACCUCCCACCUCUUCCUCACCUUGGAAAAGAAAAACAUUCCUGAGAGGGGGGAUUUGUCAGCAGAAGGCUUUGGGACUAGAACUGCAGCAUCAGCUCUUCCUGGUUCCCCAGCGCCCAGGCCUACCCUGCAGAUGUGGGCUUACUGGCCUCCACGAUCAGUGAGCCGGUUCCUUAAAAUCAACCUCUCUCUCUUCCUCUGUCUCUCCCUCUCUCUCUCUCCCUGUCCACAUCCCAUUGGUUCUGUUUCUCUGGGGAAACCUGACUAAUAAGGGGACUCUCAAGGCCCUGGCUGAGGAUGGCAGGCCUGAAGAUUCUCUGAGGCAUUCAGCAUUGAAUGAGCACCAGCUGGGCGUGGAGCUGUGUCAGGCGCUGGGCACAGGACUCAGCCCCGGAACCAAGUGUGGGCCCACAUGGUGUGGGCCUUUGUCUGUCCCUGUCAUGGCUUUGGACACACGCGUGGCCCAGAGGGGACAACGGAUCUGGGUGGCGAGGUGGGAAAGCUCACCCCAGUAUUCCUCUUGGUGGCAGCAGUCCCUUAAGGGGUCGCCUGAGUCGUGAGACCCACAGGUGUGGACCUCCCCCCCCCCUUCCUCCCCUCUCCCCCAGUGACUUUAUCCAGCACCUGCCCUGCCCAGCCUUGCACAGGUUACCCUGUGACCCACUCACAGGGAGAUAGGGCAGCUUCUUUCUGCCCUCAGGAGCCUUGUUCUCAAGGCAGCUCAUCCAAGAGAAUAACAUACAGUAGAUUGCCACACACAUGACUGUGGCUUAGUCCAGGAAAGCCACUUAUAAAAUCCGGAGGUGAAGGAAGAAAAGAUUGAAAUCUCUGUAACAAAUCCAUUUCCCUCCUCCCUCCCUCCCUUCAUCUCCAAAGUAGACCUGCCCCAGGGCCAGGGAUCCUCUCCCUGCAAGGCUAGGUAACAAGCGGAUUUUUGCUUUUGAGCUUCAAGGUCCUGGCUUCUGGUGGUUUAUAGGUGAUCUUUGAGGGUGGUUUUGACGAGAGGCUUGUUAGCUUCUCUACGCUUUUGAAACGCCCACUCUCCCCACAAGAAUCUGGGACUUUGCAGAACCGGUCCAAGGUGAGAGUAGGAUUAAUUGCCAAAUGAGUUUUCUCAUAAGCCUGGGGUCCAAAGUACAUUGGACAGCCAGCAAAUGCUUAUGAGGGGUUUGAACAAGUGAAAUCAAGGCUCAAGGUCAUAGGACUCAAUGGAGAGUGAGGCAGCUGGGAUCUGGGAUGACCGGCAUGGGCCUCAAAGCAGGGGGCUUGGAAAUAGGCCCUGAAGAGGGGGUCGCUUGCGUGGCUAGGAAGGGGUUGGGGCCCACUAGCAUUUCUCAGAAUGCCUAUUUUCUUCGGCAGUGAGAGCUGGAGGGAGGGAUGGGUUUCUCAGCACAGUUCCAGUAUGAGUGGCUGUCACCACAGGGCGCCAUUGCCAAGUCAGAAAGAAACAAAGCUUAACCGCUGCCUCCUGUCCCCCAUGGUCUGUGAAAGUCUCAUACUGUAGUGCGUCUAAUGGUGGCCCCCCAAAAGAUACAUCUACAUUAUAAUUCCUGGGACCCAGAAAUGUGACCUUAUUUGGAAAAAGGGUCUUUGACCUUAUUUGGAAAAAGCGUCUUUACAAAUGUAAGUGACCUUAUUUGGAAAAAGUGUCUUUACAAAUGUAAUUUACAACAUUGAAUGAGC